GACGAACGCUGGCGGCGUGCUUAACACAUGCAAGUCGAACGGAAAGGCCCUGCUUUUGUGGGGUGCUCGAGUGGCGAACGGGUGAGUAACACGUGAGUAACCUGCCCUUGACUUUGGGAUAACUUCAGGAAACUGGGGCUAAUACCGGAUAGGAGCUCCUGCUGCAUGGUGGGGGUUGGAAAGUUUCGGCGGUUGGGGAUGGACUCGCGGCUUGUCAGCUUGUUGGUGGGGUAGUGGCUUACCAAGGCUUUGACGGGUAGCCGGCCUGAGAGGGUGACCGGCCACAUGGGGACUGAGAUACGGCCCAGACUCCUACGGGAGGCAGCAGUGGGGAAUAUUGCACAAUGGGCGGAAGCCUGAUGCAGCAACGCCGCGUGCGGGAUGACGGCCUUCGGGUUGUAAACCGCUUUCGCCUGUGACGAAGCGUGAGUGACGGUAAUGGGUAAAGAAGCACCGGCUAACUACGU
rnacentral:rRNA from 1 species